ensembl:lncRNA novel transcript, antisense to ADD1
UCAUUAAGUAGGAAGAGCAAAGGAAAGCUCCCAGAGAAGGGGACAGCUAAGGAAGGACUCACAGACAAACAGGUGGUGAGAGCACUAGGCCAGGUGGCCAUAUAUCCAGAAAGGCACUCCAGGCAGAGAGAAAGCUAGAGCCAAAACUCCAGAGGCAUAUGACUAAGAAAAACCUUUGCUUUGCUUCAUUCAAUCACAACUGACGUCCGACUGAAGAGACCCUUGGAGUACAGCAACAAACUAAAACACUCCAAAUUUCACUCACAAGUUCGCCACUCACAAGGAAAUUCCAGACUGCAAAUGGACAAUCUGCAUAUCAAAUUGGGUUUUGUAUCUCUGAAUUAAGAAGGUCUUAUGUUUCCAAAAUCACGUCAAUUCCCAAAGUUGAUAAAGCAAACGUAGCUAGUAUGUCUGCCUCUAGAUGACUCGAUUUGGAGACUAAAGCUCACACAAACAACUCCCAGAGGUAGGACAAUAAGAAAAGAAGAAAAGGAGAUUUCUAGACCUCAGGGAAGUUAUAACUAAGUGAGCAUGGUACCUGCUCACUUUAUGAAACCCCAUAAAGACUGCAGGAAGACUCAGCUAAGUCAGGAAGCACAGGUUGACCAGACACAUCAGUAUAGAAAACUCUACGUAAGAUUUUAUAAGGAAGGAAAAAACCAACACUCUAUAAUCUAAUUAAAC